UACGUAGGGGGCAAGCGUUAAUCGGAAUUACUGGGCGUAAAGCGCACGCAGGCGGUUUGUUAAGUCAGAUGUGAAAGCCCCGGGCUCAACCUGGGAACUGCAUCGGAUACUGGCAAGCUUGAGUCUCGUAGAGGGGGGUAGAAUUCCAGGUGUAGCGGUGAAAUGCGCAGAGAUCUGGAGGAACACCAGUGGCGAAGGCGGCCUCCUGGACGACGACUGACGCUGAGGUGCGAAAGCGUGGGGAGCAAACAGG
rnacentral:rRNA from 1 species